UACGGAAGGUCCGGGCGUUAUCCGGAUUUAUUGGGUUUAAAGGGAGCGCAGGCCGGUUGGUAAGCGUGACGUGAAAUGUAGCCGCUCAACGGCUGAACUGCGUCGCGAACUGCCAGUCUUGAGUGAGUUCGAUGUGGGCGGAAUUCGUGGUGUAGCGGUGAAAUGCUUAGAUAUCACGAAGAACUCCGAUUGCGAAGGCAGCCCACAAGGCCUUUACUGACGCUAAAGCUCGAAGGUGCGGGUAU
rnacentral:rRNA from 1 species